rnacentral:rRNA from 1 species
CACGUAGGGGGCAAGCGUUGUCCGGAUUUAUUGGGCGUAAAGAGCUCGUAGGCGGCUUAGUAAGUCGGGUGUGAAACCUCCAGGCUCAACCUGGAGACGCCACCCGAUACUGCUGUGGCUAGAGUCCGGUAGGGGAGCGUGGAAUUCCUGGUGUAGCGGUGAAAUGCGCAGAUAUCAGGAGGAACACCAGCGGCGAAGGCGGGUCUCUGGGCCGAUAUUGACGCUGAGGAGCGAAAGCGUGGGGAGCGAACAGG